rnacentral:rRNA from 1 species
UACGUAGGCAGCGAGCGUUGUUCGGAAUUACUGGGCGUAAAGAGUGUGUAGGCGGUGCUCUAAGUUCGGAGUGAAAUCUCCCGGCUUAACUGGGAGGGUGCGCCGGAAACUGGAGUGCUCGAGCGUGGGAGAGGAAAGCGGAAUUCCUGGUGUAGCGGUGAAAUGCGUAGAUAUCAGGAGGAACACCUGCGGUGUAGACGGCUUUCUGGACCAUUGCUGACGCUGAGACACGAAAGCGUGGGUAGCAAACAGG